CCCGCUGAACUUAAGCAUAUCAAUAAGCGGAGGAAAAGAAACCAACAGGGAUUGCCUUAGUAACGGCGAGUGAAGCGGCAACAGCUCAAAUUUGAAAUCUGGCUCUUUCAGGGUCCGAGUUGUAAUUUGUAGAAGAUGCUUCGGGUGUGGUACCGGUCUAAGUUCCUUGGAACAGGACGUCAUAGAGGGUGAGAAUCCCGUAUGUGACUGGUCACCUUCGCUCAUGUGAAGCUCUUUCGACGAGUCGAGUUGUUUGGGAAUGCAGCUCAAAAUGGGUGGUAAAUUUCAUCUAAAGCUAAAUAUUGGCCAGAGACCGAUAGCGCACAAGUAGAGUGAUCGAAAGAUGAAAAGCACUUUGGAAAGAGAGUUAAACAGUACGUGAAAUUGUUGAAAGGGAAGCGCUUGCAACCAGACUUGCACACUGCCGAUCAUCUGGGGUUCUCCCCAGUGCACUCGGUUGCGUUCAGGCCAGCAUCGGUUUGGGUGGUUGGAUAAAGACCUUGAAAAUGUAGCUUCUCUCGGGGAGUGUUAUAGUUCUCGGUGCAAUGCAGCCUACCCGGACCGAGGACCGCGCUUCGGCUAGGAUGCUGGCGUAAUGGUUGUAAGCGACCCGUCUUGAAACACGG
rnacentral:rRNA from 1 species